rnacentral:rRNA from 1 species
UACGUAGGGUGCGAGCGUUGUCCGGAAUUAUUGGGCGUAAAGGGCUCGUAGGCGGUCUGUCGCGUCGGGAGUGAAAACUCAGGGCUUAACCCUGAGCCUGCUUCCGAUACGGGCAGACUAGAGGUAUGCAGGGGGAGAACGGAAUUCCUGGUGUAGCGGUGAAAUGCGCAGAUAUCAGGAGGAACACCGGUGGCGAAGGCGGGUCUCUGGGCAGUAACUGACGCUGAGGAGCGAAAGCGUGGGGAGCGAACAGG